UGGAUCCAGACUUUGAUCCUGGCUCAGGACGAACACUGGCGGCGUGCUUAACACAUGCAAGUCGAACGAGAAGAGAUGAGAAACUUGCUUCUUAUCAAUUCGAGUGGCAAACGGGUGAGUAACGCGUAAGCAACCUGCCCUUCAGAUGGGGACAACAGCUGGAAACGGCUGCUAAUACCGAAUACGUUCUUUUUGUCGCAUGGCAGAGGGAAGAAAGGGAGGCUCUUCGGAGCUUUCGCUGAAGGAGGGGCUUGCGUCUGAUUAGCUAGUUGGAGGGGUAACGGCCCACCAAGGCGACGAUCAGUAGCCGGUCUGAGAGGAUGAACGGCCACAUUGGGACUGAGACACGGCCCAGACUCCUGCGGGAGGCAGCAGUGGGGAAUCUUCCGCAAUGGACGAAAGUCUGACGGAGCAACGCCGCGUGAACGAUGACGGCCUUCGGGUUGUAAAGUUCUGUUAUACGGGACGAAUGGCGUAGCGGUCAAUACCCGUUACAAGUGACGGUACCGUAAGAGAAAGCCACGGCUAACUACGUGCCAGCAGCCGCGGUAAUACGUAGGUGGCAAGCGUUGUCCGGAAUUAUUGGGCGUAAAGGGCGCGCAGGCGGCGUCGUAAGUCGGUCUUAAAAGUGCGGGGCUUAACCCCGUGAGGGGACCGAAACUGCGAUGCUAGAGUAUCGGAGAGGAAAGCGGAAUUCCUAGUGUAGCGGUGAAAUGCGUAGAUAUUAGGAGGAACACCAGUGGCGAAAGCGGCUUUCUGGACGACAACUGACGCUGAGGCGCGAAAGCCAGGGGAGCAAACGGGAUUAGAUAGCCCGGUAGUCCUGGCCGUAAACGAUGGAUACUAGGUGUAGGAGGUAUCGACCCCUUCUGUGCCGGAGUUAACGCAAUAGGUAUCCCGCCUGGGGAGUACGGCCGCAAGGCUGCAACUCAAAGGAAUUGACGGA
rnacentral:rRNA from 1 species